CGACCGCCUCGGCCUCCCAAAGCAUUGGGAUUACAGGUGUGAGCCACUGCGCCCGGCCCAUUGGGUAUAUUUUUAAAUGUCAUAUUUACAUACACUGGUAAUUAUGUCUUUUGCAAUUGUUUAUAAUUAAACUGUUAUGAUAUUAACUUAAUAUUAUGAGAGGAGAUGCACAGAAGUUUUUCAACAUUAUUUUAGGGUAUGCACGUGAGGAAAAUGAUUUGGAAACUGCUGAGAAAGGGGGCGGUGAUCGUUUGAACUUGGUCAGGUCUCCUGACCUUGAGUUUGAGUUUCGCUUGCCUAAGUGAAGGGCAAUUGAAGCACUGAGCCCUUCAGGUUGCUCUAGGAGUGGAAGUAAAUGAGCCACCGCAGGAAAGGCGCUUAGCUGGGAGGAAGGAGCACGUUCAGCCUGGGGAGGAGGAUGGGAGAAGGAGGCAGAUGAAGGCAAUGGUGAUCAGGAUUUCGGCGGGAAGGUGACCUCCGACCUGGCUGACACAGGGCAAGGGAGAGAUCUCCGUCUCUGUAGAGGGGCCUGAGGGCAGGACACAUCAGGCCGAGAACUGCCCUUGCAAAGGCCUGGGGGCCGGAAGGUCUUGGUCGGGGAGCCCCGGCGCAGGCGCAGGCGCAGGCUGAGGCCCUCGGAUCCCCAGCGGGUCCUCGGCAUCAGUCACUCUCUGCGAGUCAGAGCUGAGGGUCACCGCCUGCAGGAGCCUCCGUGCGCGGCCCCACUCCCUCACCUGCGUCCCCGUGGGGAGGCGACCCUGACCGCCCUCAUUCCGGACGCCAGCAGGGCUCCGGCAGCCAGCGGUCCCCUCCCGAGUCUCUGCUCCUGCCGGGACUCUGCAGGAGCGGGACCCCAUCGCCGCGGCUGGGAUGCCGUGAGAGUUUCAUUCCACUCAAAGGCUCUUGGAAAAUUCACUCGAAAGGUCUGGGUGAUGGCUGGGGAUUCGCCAUGGCGUGGGGAUCCGGCGUGGUAUCCUGCACCGGGUAGUGGCGCGGUGUGUCCCGAGGCUAAUUUGGAAAAAGGCGAAACCUGAGGGGCGGUGGCGGCGAGCCCUCGGCACAGCGUCCCCUGGCGGCCGCCAGGCUCAGCCAGGUCUGAGAGCCGGGAGGUCGCCGGAAGAGCCGGGCCCAAGGCAGGAUCAGCCCAGCUCCUCCAGGUAGCCUCCUCCUCCUUCUGCUCCUCCUCCUCCCAUGCCCCCUUCCUUUCCCUCUUUCUUCUCGUCCUCCCCUCCUUCCCUUCUUCCACUCCCUCCUCCCUCUCCCUCCCCUCCUCUCCUCCUUUUUCUUCUAAUUCCUACAGUUCGUCUUUUAAAUUAAUGUACGUCAACAUUUAAAUAGGUUAUAGAUUAACAUAGUUCAAGUAUGUUUUUAAAAAACUGUUCAAAGGUAUACAGUGAAAAGUCUUCAUCCCAGAAAAGCUGUCAGUCAAAUGUUAAAACUGAGGGACAUUCUACAAAAUACCUGACUAAUAUCCUCAGAACUGUCAAAGUCAUCAAAACCCAGGAAGAGUCUGAGAAAUUGUCACGGCCGAGAAGAGCCUAAGGAGACAGGACCAUCAAAUGUAAUGUUGUGUCAUGGAUGAGGUCCUGGAGCAGAAAAACGGACAUCUGGUGAAAACCAAGGAAAUCCGAGUCAAGAUGGACUUUAGUUAAUGCAUCAACACCGGUUCAUUACUUGUAACAAACAACACAUACCAACGACCGAUGCUAAUAAUAGGGAACCCUGGGUGAAAGCUUUAUGGAGACUCUUAUUAUCUUUGCAAUAUUUCUGUGACUGUAAAACUGUUUAGAAAAUAAAGUUUAUUUUUUUAAAGAGUCUUCAUGUC
rnacentral:lncRNA from 1 species